GACGAGCACAGCGGCAGCGCGUGGAUGGAGGCGGCGCUUCUCCCGCCUCCGCAGGCAGCCCACGUGAUUUCACCCAGGGAUCUUCCCUGCUCUCCCGUGAGUGAAUUCAUUCAUUGCGAGCUUUCAGCUCCUGCCUACAAACAGGUGCAUGGCUGUUCCCACUCUGCCUGUGCCGGAGGAAGCCCAGAGAAGUUGCUGGAAUACCUGACCUUCCUGUGCGUGCCUGCUCCAAGUGAAAACACAGAUCCCAAAAUAACUCCCUCGAACAAUGUGGCCAUAGUUGGGGUGAGGGCGGUGAUGUUCCGGCUUUCCCCUCCAGCAGCCCUGAAGCCAC